rnacentral:lncRNA from 1 species
UUUUCUUCUCCCCAUUUUCCCACCCGAUUUCAGGAUGAAAAAGCACUCUGACGUCUUGAAAGCUGGCAGCUCUCUGUUUAGAAAAUCUCUGCCCAGUGAAAAAAUGUACCGACAAGAUUACUAAGUAACACAGUCUUCUGGGAAUGCCUUAUCAAUGCCAGCUAUUUGAAGAGCACCCAAAGUCAAACUAGUGCUCCGCGCUGGCAGUCUGGAAAAGGCAGAUGUAUAUUUCAGUCAGUAAUGGAUAUUACCACCAGCAUUUAAUCAAGGAAGCAGGAAGUGAUCCAUCACUGCUAGCUGCUAUCUACAGGAAUUCUGUCUACAGGCAGGGCAGACCAGUCAGCCAGUAUCUUCCCGAAGUACCUUGGUCUUCCACCAUCCAUCCCACUGAGAGAGCCGUUCCUCUAAUGAGGCAUUUCUAAGCAGCUGUCCAUUUAACUCUACCCCUUGAGAUAUACUGAGAAAUAGGAAUCUAUGGUUCCUAUUGUUUGGAAAGUAGUAUAUCUUCCUUGAAGAUUCACAAUGCGUAUUAAUAUGCUUAGGGCUCUGAGAAGUCCUGUAUUAAAAAUGCUUGUUAAACAUUGCUGAACCUAGCAUUUCUUUAACUUCACUUGGCCAUGGAGCUAUUUCCUUUAUUACACCUAUCAACAUUCCAAAAGAAUAAAAUUCCUCAGAAUAGAAUAUUUUGUUAUUUUUGAGUUAAAGACUGCAGAGCCUUCAUAAGACUUUUCUUGUUGG